UUCCUCCAACCCUCAUCAGCUCAUCACUUAGAGGCAACACAGGAAAACAGAGAGCAUGUGGUGCUUUAAAAAACAAACAUAAACAAACAAAGAAGGAAAUUUAAGGUUCACAUACAUGCAUAUAUCUACACCCCCAUCUCCUGUUAUCACUAGGGCAAACUGGAUAGAAUUCUGAAUUUCCUUGAUCCAUGUAGAGGACACAUCGAAAAUUGUACGGCACCCUUCUGCACAUUUCUAUUCAAAAUUUCUCCUAAUUUUUUAAACCCGAUUUCACUGAUACUAAAAUAAGGGACCAACUACACAUGUUUGACCAAAGUACCAAAUCCCUA
rnacentral:lncRNA from 1 species